GCUUACCAUGCAAGUCGAAACGGUUGUAGCAAUACAGCCAGUGGCGCACGGGUGAGUAACGCGUGGAUAUCUGCCUUUUGGUUCGGAAUAACUCCGGGAAACUGGAGCUAAUACCGGAUGGUUCCUACGGGAUAAAGAUUUAUCGCCAAAAGAUGAGUCCGCGUACGAUUAGCUAGUUGGUGAGGUAAUGGCUCACCAAGGCGACGAUCGUUAGCUGGUCUGAGAGGACGAUCAGCCACACUGGGACUGAGACACGGCCCAGACUCCUACGGGAGGCAGCAGUGGGGAAUAUUGGACAAUGGGGGCAACCCUGAUCCAGCCAUGCCGCGUGAGUGAUGAAGGCCUUCGGGUUGUAAAGCUCUUUUGGCGGGGACGAUGAUGACGGUACCCGCAGAAUAAGCCCCGGCUAACUUCGUGCCAGCAGCCGCGGUAAGACGAAGGGGGCUAGCGUUGUUCGGAAUUACUGGGCGUAAAGCGAGUGUAGGUGGUUGUCAUAGUCAGGUGUGAAAGCCUUGAGCUCAACUCAAGAAAUGCACUUGAUACUGGGCGACUAGAGGACCGGAGAGGAUAGUGGAAUUCCCAGUGUAGUGGUGAAAUACGUAGAGAUUGGGAAGAACACCAGUGGCGAAGGCGGCUAUCUGGACGGUUUCUGACACUAAGACUCGAAAGCGUGGGGAGCAAACAGGGAUUAGAUACCCUGGGUA
rnacentral:rRNA from 1 species